GAAGGGAUGGGCUGAAUUAAAGGAGUAGGUUGGGCUAGUUAACUGUAGCAGGAGCAUGUCCUUAAGGCACAGAUCACUCAUGCUAUUGUUUGUGGCUUAAGAAUGCCUUUAAGCGGUUUUCUGCCCUGGGCAGGCCAAGUGUUCCUUGCCCUCAUUCCAGUAAACCCACAACCUUCCAGCGUGGUCUUUAUGGCCAUCAUGAACAUGUCACAGUGCUGCAGAGAUUUUGUUUAUGGCCAGUUUUGGGGGCCAGAUUAUUGCCAGAUUUUGGGGGGCUUGUUCCCAACAAAAUGAGUAUUUUAUAAUGUAACAUUUUAAUUUAUUUAGUGAUUUUCACUAUAUUUUUUGAGUUAUUUUCUGGUUGGCUGCUCUAAGGCUUACAAUACAUAUCUUAACUUACCAGAAUCUAAUUCAGAUAAUAUACUAACUUAAUUCCAGUGAUAUAUAGAAAUGUUCCUCCUAUAUACUUCUGUUUUCUCUGUCCUCUUUUAUGCUAUUGGUGCUAUAAAUAAAUCUUUAUAUGUUAUAAACUCAAUAAUACAUUGUUACAAUUGUCAUUUAAUAAAUUUUUGUGUUUUUUUAUAGAAAAUAAGAGAUGAAAGGAGAGCAAGUACAUAUUUAUAGAGUUCGUUAGACUGGCUGUAAAGUUAGACUAACUUUCUUCUUUACCAUUUCUGGUUCUCUUCAUUUGUUCCUGUGGAUUCAAGUUACCAUUCAGUGUCAUGUUCUUGCUCUAAUACACCUUUGUUUCCACUGACCUACUUUGUGCUGUUAUUGUCAAGUAUGUUACAUUCAUAUACAUACAGGCAUAACAAUAAAAUUAUGUACAUAUUGUUGUAAACCAUUUCUUUUAAAAUCAGUUAAAAGAAGGAGGUGUGGCAAAUCACCAUGGCACGUGUAUACCUAUGUAACAAAGUUGCACAUUCUGCACAUCUAUCCCAGAGCUUAAAGUAAAAUUAAAAUAAAUAAAUAGAAGGAAGGGGAAGAAAUGUGCAUUUAAACUGUAUUUUCUAAUUACAUAAUUACAUUUACUUAUGUUCUUCACUUUUUUGAAUUACUGUCUGGGGUAGCUUCCCUUCAGUCCAAAGACCUUCCUUUAAUAUGUCUUGCAGGAAGUGUCUGAAGCAACAAAUUCUUUCAGUUUUUGUUUUUCUAGGAAUGGCUUCAUUUCACCUUAAUUUUUGAAAGACAAUGUUUCUGAAUGUAAGAUUUUUAGUUGACAGCUUUUGUUCUUUUAGUACCUUGAAUAUGUCAUUGCAUUGCUUGCUAGCCUUUACUGUUUCUGAUGAGAAGCCAGCUGUUAAUUUAUUGGAGUUCACUAGUAUAUGAUGUUUUUCUCCUAUUACUGCCCAAAAUUACACUUUUUCUGUUUCUUCAUUAAGCAAACACUUUAUUCUUUCCAACUUUAUUGAGUUAUAAUAGAAAAGUAUUAUACAUAUUUAUGGUAUAUAAUGUGAUGUUUUGAUAUAUGUAUACAUUGUGAAAUGAUUACCAUAAUUAAGCUAAUAUAUCCAACACCUCACAUAGUCACUGUAUUUGUCCAUUUUAUGCUGCUAUAAAAGAAUGCCUGAGGCUGGGUAAUUUAUAAAGAAAAGAGGUUUAUUUUGGCUCACAGUUCUGUAGAUGGUUCAAGAAGCAUCGUGCCAGCAUCUGCUUCUGGUGAGAGCCUGGGGAAGCUUCCAGUCAUGGUGGAAGCUGAAGGGGAGCAGCCAUGUCACAUGGCAAGAGAGGAAGAAACAGAGAGAUGCCAGGCUCUUUUAAACAACCAUCUCUCGCGUGAACUAAUAGUGUGAGAACUCACUCUUUACCGAAAGGACAGCACCAAGCCACUCAUGAGGGACUUGCCCCAUGACAAACACCUCCCACCAGGCCCCACCUCCAACACUGGGAAUCACAAUUUAACAUGAGAUUUGGAGAGGACAAAUAUGCAAACUCUUUUAGUAUCAGUCACUAUUUUUCCUUUUGUGGUGAGAACAUUUAAGAGCAACUGUCUGAGCAAAUUUCAAGUUUCCAAUGCAGUAUAUAGUUACCAUGUUGUACUUUAGGUCUCCAAAAAUAUUCAUCUUAUAUAACUGACAUUUUGUACCCUUUAACCAACUUCUUCCUAUUUCUCCCACUCCCAAUCCCAACCCCUGGCAACCACCAUUCUGGUCUCUGCUUCUAUGAGUUCAACUUUUUUGUAUUUCACGUAUAGGUGAGAUCAUGUAGUAUUUGUCUUUCUGUGGUUAUUUCACGUAGCAUAAUGUCCUCCAAGUUCACCCAGUUGUCAUAAAUAGCAGAAUUUUCUUCUUUUUAAAGGAUGAAUAAUUUUUCAUUAUAUAAGUACAGGUAUACAUACAUGUACAAUGGAAAAUUAUAGUAUGUACAUACGAGAGAGAAACAUUUUUUUUAUCCAUCAGUGGACACUUAGAUUGAUUCCAUAUCUUGGCAAUUGUCCAUGAUGUUGCAAUGAACAUAGGAGUGCAGAUAUCUCUUCAAUAUAACAAUUUCAUUUCUUUUGGAUGUAUAUCCAGAAGUGAGACUGCUGGGUCAUAUGGUAAUUUGUUUUAAUUUUUUUGAGGAACCUCUAUACUGUUUUCCAUUAUGGCUAUACUAAUUUAUACUCCUACCAACAGUAUGGAAGAGUUCCCUUUUCUCCACAUUCUCCCUCACACUUGUUCUUUUUAUUG
rnacentral:lncRNA from 10 species